AACGAUCUGGGCACUGUCUCAACGAGAGACUCGGUGAAAUUAUAGUACCUGUGAAGAUGCAGGUUACCCGCGACAGGACGGAAAGACCCCGUGGAGCUUUACUGCAACCUGAUAUGGAAUGUUUGUACCGCUUGUACAGGAUAGGUAGGAGCCGAAGAGACGUGUGCGCUAGCAUACGAGGAGGCAAUGGUGGGAUACUACCCUGGCUGUAUGACCAUUCUAACCCGCCACGCUUAGCGCGUGGGGAGACAGUGUCAGGUGGGCAGUUUGACUGGGGCGGUCGCCUCCUAAAGAGUAACGGAGGCGCCCAAAGGUUCCCUCAGAAUGGAUGGAAAUCAUUCGCAGAGUGUAAAGGCACAAGGGAGCUUGACUGCGAGACUGACAAGUCGAGCAGGGACGAAAGUCGGGCUUAGUGAUCCGGUGGUUCCGCAUGGAAGGGCCAUCGCUCAACGGAUA
rnacentral:rRNA from 1 species